rnacentral:lncRNA from 1 species
CCCGCUAUUCACGCGGCCCUGGGGUGUUACAAAGAGAGACAUUAAGAAGUCUGUGGGCAUCGCAGGGGCCCGGAACGUGGGGACAAUUACCGUGGCUCUGAAGGCCCCUGUCUCCCAGCCUUGUAAUCUGACCCCUGCGAUGAUGUUACAGGGGCCCCUCUGUUUGCAGAUUUGUUUCUUUGUCUUAAUUUUGGCAAUAAAGUGAG